rnacentral:rRNA from 1 species
CAGCAGCCGCGGUAGUACGAAGGGGGCUAGCGUUGCUCGGAAUGACUGGGCGUAAAGGGCGCGUAGGCGGCGAUCAAAGUCAGGCGUGAAAUUCCUGGGCUUAACCUGGGAACUGCAUUUGUGACUGGCGGGCUAGAGUAUGGCAGAGGGGGGUAGAAUUCCACGUGUAGCAGUGAAAUGCGUAGAGAUGUGGAGGAAUACCGAUGGCGAAGGCAGCCCCCUGGGCCAAUACUGACGCUCAUGCACGAAAGCGUGGGGAGCAAACAGGAUUAGAUACCCCUGUAGUCCCUGUCUCUUAUAC